rnacentral:rRNA from 1 species
AUUGAACGCUGGCGGCAGGCCUAACACAUGCAAGUCGAACGGUAACAGGAAGCUGCUUGCUGCUUCGCUGGCGGGUGGCGGACGGAAGGGUUAUGUCUGGGAAGCUGCCUGAUGGAUGGGGUUCACUACUGGGAACGGUUGCUACUACCGCAUAGUGUCGCAAGACCAAAGAGCGGGACCUUCCGGCCUCUCGCCUUCGGCUGUGUCCAGAUGGGAUUAGCUUGUUGGUGGGGUAACGGCUGACCAAGGCGACGAUCCGUAGCUGGUCUGAGAGGAUGACCAGCCACACUGGGACUGAGACACGGUCCAGACUCCUACGGGAGGCAGCAGUGGGGAAUAUUGCACAAUGGGCGCAAGCCUGAUGCAGCCAUGCCGCGUGUAUGAAGAAGGCCUUCGGGUUGUAAAGUACUUUCAGCUGGGAGGAAGGGAGGAAAGUUAAUACCUUUGCUCAUUGACGUUACCCGCAGAAUAAGCACCGGCUAACUCCGUG